AUCCAGGAGUUUAAGACCAGCCUGGUCAACAUGGUGAAACCCGUCUCUACAAAUCAUACAAAAAUUAGCCAGAUAGGUUGAGGCUCAUGUGUAGCCCCAGGUCCUGGGGAAGCUGAGGUGGGAGGAUCACUUGGGUCUGGGAUAGUGAAGCUGCGGUGAGCUGUGAUUGCAUCACACUGCACUCCAGCCUGGGUUACCGAGACAGACAUUGUCUUCAAAAAAGUGAAUAUUAUAGAUGCCUUAUUUUAUUGAUCAUAGUGAUCAUAAUGGUAAUUAGUUGCUUAGUUUAGUGUAAACAGUGUUUUAUUAACUUAAAGUCCUAAGGCCUAGUAAUCACUAAUCAGCUGUGAUACCUUAGGUAAGGUGAAAAACCUCUCUAGAUUUGAAUUGUCUCAUUUAUAAAGGGAAAAAUAUGAAGUAUUCUUCGAUCUCUAUUAAUUCAUGAAUACAUGUGUGUAAUGUGUUGCACUGAGCGUAUUCUAUAUCAAAAAAUUGCAGAUGUCACCCAAGAGGCAUAGGGCAAAGAAAUUUUUAGAAACACAGUUUUUAGGAUCUGAUCCAUAGUCCUUGAAAUAUUAUGUCCUAGUUGUUAUUGUUUCUCCUCUUUGAGUGGCUGCUCUUACUGAGAUUUAGUAUGCAGCCGGAGGAGGAAGCUUUCUUCCAACGACCAACAAACUUCCCCAUCUUUUGCAAGAGGACUGCUUCUGAGGUCAUUCGACAAACCUGUUAUGCCAGCCACUCACUUCUGUAUGCUGACUCUUGCUUGUCCUUCUGGGAGCCAGUCUUGGGGCAGGUCAGGAGACAUACACUGGCUACCUUUAUUUCCUUUAUUUGGAUGUUUCUUUUUUAUAGCCUGCCAUCUGAAUAGAAAUUACACUAAAUGAUAUCCUUGACCUUGUCUGGUAAAUGUGUUUGGAAUUUGUGAAUUGCUUCAUUCUGAUCAAAUGAUCUAAGUAGGUGAGGAAAGGAUACAGCAGGUAGCACUCAAUACAAUUUAUAAUAGCUUCUUCCCCUUUUGUCUCACCUGCCAGCUAACAUAGUAUACACACACACACACACACACACACACACGCACACACACAGAGGGAAUCAGUAUCACAUUAAAUCUAUGGUCUUAUUCCUUGGCCUCAUCUUGAACCCCUAGCACAAUGGCUUUUUGCAAUUCAUCAGAAGAGAAACUAUAAGAAAUUAAUGAAUGAAUUGGCCUCAACAUAUCACCACCAAAAGAAAACAAUUCAAAAUUUAAGAUGUUUAACAUCCUUUAAACCACCACGUUUAUUCUCUUAUCGAAAGGCUCUCAUAACAGAAUCUUCAUUGUCAACAUCAUUGCCAUCAGGUUUUUAAGGAUUAUGAAGAUAAAGACAAGAACAGGUAAAAUUCUAAUUUUGCAUCGUGUUUUGAAUAGAUUCUGCUCCUAGUUUCCAGGGCUCUGAAGGCAUCUAGGUAACUGAGAUAAUGUUCUGCACAUGAUCCUUCUCUUAUGCUUGGUGCAUAUGCUUGUAAAAAGCCUGUUUGUCAAAAAAUAUAUAUAUCAAUUAAUCUUAAUGAUACAAAUAUUUGCUUAAUAAGACUCAUUAGGGAGCCAAUAUUAAUCAAAGGCUCAGAAUGAUCUGUAAUUAGCACUUUAAUUUUACAUAUAUUAGUGGAUGGUUUGAAAGUGUUCAAGGGUCUUUUACAUGUUUUAUUUCUUGUUUUAUUUGAAAUAUUUUAUCUAACACUCUCUUUAAAUUUCUUAAUCCAGGACAUCCUUGACUUUCACCUAAACUAUAGUCCUAACCAAGCCUCCACUUAAACCUUGGUCGCAGAAAGCUCAGACAGUAACUUUUACAUAACAUCAAUCAAAGCAGGCCUGUCCUCAGAUAAAGCUCUCCAAAGCUUUUCCACAGACUAAAAUAAAAUCCAAGUUUCCAUCCUGCUUACAUUUACUGACUCCCUCACAUUGUAUGUUCCGCGAUGCCAGCCCUCUUUAUGCCUGAAGACUUGUCUCUCCUAAGGGCUUAGCUUUUUCCGUGUCCUCUGCCAGGAACACCUCUCAGUGACUCCCUCUUGUCUUUUCUACUUCAAUUUAACUGACACUCCAGGAAUACCUUCCCUGACUCCUGAAUCCAAACUAUGCCCCAAUUCAACAAGUAACUCUCACAGCUUUUCUCUAUUUCUACUCUUUUUUCAGCAAUUGUUGCAAUUGGAAAUAUUCUUUAUUCUUUCUUGUUGAUUUAUUGAAUUCUUUAUGAUGUGUCUCUCAGUAGAUGUGAGCUUCAUGAAAGCAAGCACUUCUUGUUCAAAGCUGUAUUCCUAAAACCUAGAAUAAUGCCUGUCACAUAAUAGGCACUCAAUAUAUACUAGUUAAACUGAAAAGUACCUGUUAGGUAGAAUCCUUUCUUCAUCUCACAUUUUCUGACUUAACGUGGCUAUAAUUCAUGAGAUUUAAAAAAUACACCUGGACUAGUAUUAUUUAUUAUUUUUGUUAUAGUGAGAAGUUUUAUUUAUAGGAAAUACCUGAUUUUUCACAUAAAAUCUUUUGUUCAUUUCAGUGAAAACUUUGGAAGAAAUGAAGGAACCAUAGUGACUGUUGCGAGGCCUGCACAGUAUCUCUUUUCCUUAAGAAUUUCAAAACUUCAUGUAGGCUGCUGAUCUUAAUAAUACUUUUCUUCUUUUACAAUAUCUUUUUUUAAAGAAAUAGCAUGUUUGAAAUUCUACUUGGGAGGGCAACCUACUGUGUAAAUUGCCAUUAGUUUGCAUCUCAUCUGAUUCUAAAGACUCUCUACCUGUUUUACUAUAAAUUUGUUUGGCUUUAUCUUUGCUCCCAACUUAUCCGGUGUUCUGUUGUCUACCUGAAAGCCGCUCUGUUUUCUUUGUGAACUCAAGUCUAAGAGAGAUUAAAGUAAGGCCAGCUGAGUGAUUUUCCAGUAAGAGGCCACAGUUUAUUCUAAUUUUUUUUAGAGUUGAAGCAAAUCACAGAGUCUGAAGUGAGAAGAGAGAGAGCCUGUGGUGUGGCUUCUUGUGGACGGUUGAGUUUCAUUCCUUCCCCGGCCUCCCCAUGAUAACCUACGCACACUUCUCUCAUUGCACUCGCCCGAGAAGGGGUGUCUCCCCCAGGAGUAGUUACAUCAUUAGAUUCAUGCCCCCUGCAUCGUGGACAUUUUCUGGCAGAGGGCUGACACACAAGUGAAUCCAAGCAUGUGAGUGUGUGUGUUUGUGUAUGUGUAUGAAUUUAUGAAAGUUGUCUAAGCAGUGCUUUGCUUUACUCUUUAAUUUGAGCACAAGGGUUAGAAGUACAUGAAGAAGUUUGCUUCUUUAAAAUAAAGAUGAUUUAUUCCUAUCUGUAAUCUUCUUUGGGUAUUGUGUAUUCUUGAAUAUUCUGUGCACAUAAAAAUAUGUUAAUCAGAGAAAAGUGAAAGGAUAUUUACAAUCUGUUAUAUACACAAUUGUAUAUGAGUCUUUGCACAUGCUGUAUUGACUACACAUUUGCUGAUGUGAGAAGCAGCAAAACAAGAAACUUCAAGAUUAGCUGCAUAUCAAAUGUUUACUAUAGUAUUUGCACAUUGAAUGAGACAUAGUUUUCAAGUUGAUAUUUUUAAACUGUGACUGCUGUAGGUUUUUGUAUAACAUCAACAUCACUUAAAAAAUGUAAAGCUUUACAUCAAUAUUUCUGGCUCCUGGCAAUUAUUUGACCAUAUCAACUUGUUUCACUUCAAGAAACCAGAAUAGUCACUAUAUCAUUAAAGUUACUAAGUAAUUCACAUCACAUGUAUCACACCACUAAGAUGUCCUUAGGUUUUCCAUAAUAUCAGUACAUAAGCCAGCAUUAAAGAAUAAAGCAAUAAAAAAUAUAAACUAUAUCUAAUGGGAUGUGUAUUAGAAGAGAUUACUUAGAAGAAAUUGUGGUUAAAAGAGUGUUCCCCUACUUGAUCUACAAGAAGAGCCACUUGAUUGUCAACUGAUAACGUAGUUAAGUAGCUGGCAUGAAUUUCUGUUACUGUUAGGUUAUGUGUAUUUAAUUAUAACAUGAAAAAAUACAUGACGGGGUCUUUUUGUACAAAUACAACAAUUUUAUAUUUUCCUUUUGUUACUUUAUACAUUAAGAAUAAUGUUUCCACAACCAGAACUAUACAUAAGUGCUUAUAUUUCCUAUUUGCAUUAAGGAAUCUUUAUGUACAGAGUCUAAGAAUAUUAAUGUCUCAUUCUAUACAGAGCUAAGAAUUUUAAAAGUUCCUGACAUUCAGACUUUCCUCUCCCAACAGACUAUUGCUAUCAAGGUUGAACAACAUGUACCUAGUAGAAUCUAGCUGAUUUCUACCUUAGGUAGAAAUUGAUGUGAAAUUCUAUAAACAAUGUUCAACCUAAUUAAAAUAAUUCAGAGGGCUUAACCUUUUGUUUGAAAAUAGUUUUUAUAUGGCAAAAUACUUGACAUCUCCAGCUCCCAAGCUGUCCCUUAACCAUGAGAACGCUAUCUUUUCCUAAGUUGCAUCUACAUCUAUAAAAGAUAUCUUCUACUUCAGGUUAGCUGAUGGGAAUAACUUCAAACACUGAGCAUAGAAAUUGAAUCUUUGUGUAAGGAAGUGAGUCAGAAUCCUGCAUUUACAGAUUGUUAAUCUCUGAGUUUGUCAUCAUGGGAGUGGGGUGAGACCAAUGCUUGCACAUGCUUUUAUCAUUACUGCCCAAAUCCAGUGAGACAAACAAGGAAGCCUUUGCUUCUCUAGUACUAACUCCAUUACAACCCCACACAAUGAUGAGGAAUAGGAAAUGCUAACCCUACCCCAACCUCACCAAACAUGCAUCGUGAGGCUCUUCUGGAACCAGAUCAAACACUUGACCAUAAAUGGGGAAUAUGGAGAUCUUCCCUGAAGAACAAUGAGAUUUUCCUUGGACAUUAUUGGUUGACAGUGAAGGCAUGGAGGGAUAAGUGAAUUAAAUCCAGUUCUAUAUGUGAGCAUCAUCAUGAGUUCACUUUCCCCACCAAACUAUUUCUUAUUUUCUUUCUAAAUCAUUAAGAAAUAAGAGCAUCUACUCAAGGGAAACAGUUUCAUUCCAUGGAACUAGAGAAUCUAAGUCAAAUUGGAAUAAAUUCCACUGGCAUGGCCUUGAUUUUAUACUUUUUGUAAUACUAGAAACCUUUAUUAUGGUUUUGAAUAAAAGUUGGCUUUUUCCUCUCCCUGCCUGAUUAUAAAGAGCUCUGUUUUUGCUAACCAGGAAGAGUAGAAUGUGAUAUAAUUAAUUUUUUUAUUCUUUUAUUUGAUAAUUGAGAAAGGAAGAGUAUUAGUUCAGCACACUGCAUUUAAACAGAAUGUCAGUUUGGCUAUUUUGACUUUAUACAAGUCUGUAAAUAAGAAUGCAUUUAUACGUGCAUAAUUAAGAUGGACAGUUUUAUGGACACAUCUUGGAUGGAGCACUUGGAUGGCCCAUAGGACCCUCUGUUUGUCCCUAUCAUAGUACUUACUGUAUUGUGUUAAGAUGCUUAUUGACUUAAAUGUAUUUCCCAAAAGGUGGUGAUUACUUUGAAGCCAGCGACUAUGACUUGUUCACUUCUGUAUUUCCAGUUCUUAAUAAAAUGGCUUACAUACCAUAAAUAAAUUGGUGCUCAACAGUAUGGUUAUUGAAUGUAAAAAUGAAGAUUGCAUCAGCUGGUUUAUGACAUGUAACAAACCACCCACAGAGGUGGUGCUUAAAACUAAUCGUUAUCAUUGUUGAUGAGUCUGUUGGUCAUCUGAGUAUUCCUGCUGAUCUUGUCAGACUAAGCUGAUUGCUGCUGGGCUCACUCAUGCUUCUGCGGUCAGUAAUGGACUUGGUCAUGGGCCAUGAUAUCUAAAAUGGUCUUUUUGUCACAUCUGAUGUUUUUCUCUCUACUAGCAUGGCUAAUGAAGGUGGCUAUACCAUGUCUCUCGUCAUCCAACAGUCUAGGGAGAGUUUGUUCACAUGGCAGCAGAUGGUAGGAGUUCCAAGAACUUAAUAAAAAUUACAAGUCCUCUUGAAGUCUAGAUUCAGAGGUACAGUUGCAUUUUUGACUCAUUUAUUUUAUCAAAGCCAGUCUGAAGACAAACUUGUAUUCAAUAUGUGGAAAAAAGGAAUCCCCUCUCCCCCAUGUUUUGAUGGAAGGACUAUGAAUUAUUGUGGUCAUUUUUGAAAUUCAUUACAGAUGAUAAAGCAUCCCGAAUGUCACAAGAGACUAAGCUACAGGGAAAUCUGAAAUCUCCUUUCUGUGACAUUAGCAACAUCAUUAAUACCUUAAUCCUUUUUCUGCCUGGGAUCUGAAUCCCUUUCAAAAGCCCACAUUUAUUUAGGUCAAAUAAUUAAAAUGAAGGCAACUAACUUAAAUUUAAUGACUUAAAAUUUUAUUUUAGACAGCCGUAAUAAACACAAGGAGAUAAACACAGUAACAGUUUAAUGAAAAAUAGCUGUGUUCUCUAAACAAAGAAAUAGUAAGAAUAUCAGUAGUGAGUCACAUUUUUACACAUCUCUGUAUAUUAGGUUUAAUUUAUAAAUAGUUGGAUUAUCAAAUUAAAAAAAAAAAACCUUACAUGCUAGUUACUAGCUUUACUUCUUGUAAAAUGUUUUCCUUUCAGUUAUCUCAAUUGUCCAACCCCUUAGCCUCUGUCUACCUGGGGAGGCUAGACAGAAUUGAAAAUCUAAGCAAAAAUCCUACUCUGGUUAUAGAAAGCUGUUUUGAGAGCUGGAAAUUUCAGUGGCCUGCUGCCAGUGGUUUAUUUUAGUUUUAUUUUAUGUCUUGAUUCCACUCAACCUUAAGAAAACCAUAGCCUGGAUAAUCAUAGUUCAUUUCUGAAGUGGGCUCAACAACAGAAAGGAGUCAUCGUUCUUUUAACAUUCUUUUAUCAGUGUAGCUAUCAUUCGCUUUCUUCUUCUUCUUCUUUUUUUCUUUUUCCAAUGUUCUGUAGCACCGUAGCAUCAAAUAUUAUAAGAACCCCUCCAGAGUUCACGGGCAUCAUGAGACGGAAUCACUGAGUUAGAUGAUAUCUGUAAAGAGAUAUUGAGGAUGUCAUUAAAAUAAACAUCAAGCGUUGUGAGGUAGAACAUGAAAUUCUAGAUAAAGUGGUUUUCAGAAUCAGAUUUCAGUAAAACUGUGAGACCGAGGAAAUGUUGUCUUGGCAACCUAUGAGUUACUUUAAAUUUUGCAUCCUACUUUGUGUUAGAAAGUUUUCUAUAUUCACUAAAAUCCUCCCUGAUGAUGCUUGGUAGUUUUUGUAAGCAAUAUUCAAGGAUAGGACUAUUUCAAAACCAGGAAGAAUGGCUUUAAUCAAAGACAAAUAGAUAAGGGUGGCAAACUUUGUAUCACACUGUGGAGGUCACUAACUACUCAAAUAAUCUUGAGUACUCCCACGCAUGCAGUCAUGUAUUCAUCUAAAAAACAUUUAUUGAGCACCUUCUAUAUAUCAAGCCCUGAGCCAAUUAUAAAGAAGAAUGAAGUACAUCCUUAUCCUCAAUAAUUAUACUGCCUGGAAAAGAAAGCCUACAGCUAAGUUGAUGAUAAAAUAUGAAGUAGAAAUGAAUAUAAAGUGCCCAGGUAGCAUACAAGGAAAGCAACUAAGUAUUAUCUGGAGAGCUACUGGUGAAUUAAUGAGGCACUUAUAUAACAUAGAAGAUGGAUUAAAAAAAAAAAAACUAGUUGCAAGUAGAACUCAAGCAGUGUGAAUGGCACAAACCAAUGCAAAAAACUAGAAAGUAAUUUAGUGUCUUUGAGAAAUUUUUCUAAAGCAUAAGUUACAUUGUUUUGGGGAAGAUAAGAGUAGAUUUAGGUAAAAUAUUAUAAAGUCAGAAUUGCUAGUGUUCAAAUUAUUGAUUCAUGUGCAAACAUUGUUAUCUAGUGUAGCACACGCUCUGAUCCUUCUAAGUCAGAUUUGAAUCAUUUAUCUUCUAUGCCCUUCAUAGGCACUUGGAUUCUGUUACUUUUCAUAUUGCAUUGUACUGUUUCAUAGUAUCUGUAUUUUUACUUUAACCCUGAAAAUAAGACUAUCUUAUAUUUCUAUCUCCUUCAUGUGGAAGAACGCAAAGUACUUGUCAUAUUUGUUGACUGCUUUUCUAUCUUCCCAAAUUAUCUUAAUUCUUCCUAUUCUUAGUCUUAAAAUAGUUGUCCACUUUCUUAGUGAGCCUACUUUAUUGUUCCAAACUAGUAACACCAACUGAUAACUUUGAACCAAAACAAAGAAUUCACUUACAUCUAAAUUGGUUUCCCAGUCCCAAUGGACUCAGCAAAAACACUGAGCCUUAGAAAUGUACACCAGUGGCCAAGCAUCUUCACACAGUGUCAUUUGUACCAGGGUUUGUCCAAAUACAGAGAACCACACAGCCAAAGAAACCAUGGAUUUCACUCAAGUUAUCUAUUUGAACAAAUUUGUUUGUAUCUACUGUUCUUUUAUUAUCCCCAUGUAUGCUUUUAAUCAGCUAGAUGUAGAGUAGUACACAGUCUUUGCUUCCAGCUUUUAAAGACGUGUGAAAAUCUGAGAAUCAGUAGUGACCCACUAUCUGGUAAUACAACUGAGCAAUAUGAGCUCACUGCCCACAACAGAUAGAAACCAACACUAUAGCAAUGACUUUUGCGAAAAGAAAGUCUUUAUUGCCAGGCUGGCCAGCAAGGACACAGGUGAUGCAACUCACAUCUAUCUUACUAAUUCAGGGUCUGGGGAAAGUUCUAAGGGGCCAGAGGACAAGGGAAAGGAUUAAGAAAUGUUCGUCUGGCAGAGUCUAAUUGAAGGACUUCAAAUUAGACCAUUUACGGUAAGGCAGGUUGAGGAGGGUUUUAGCUCCUGAUCUUUUGGGCCAAUGGACCCCUAAGUUUUGAAAAGGUUUCAGGGUUUAGGUUCUGGUCAUAUCCUGGUCUUCUUGGUUCCACAGGGAGGAAUCAUGGGUUCUGGGUGUUGCUAAAGAUCAAAAUUUUUUCUGUUGUGCAUGCUUGGGCUACAUGAUUGACAAUUUUGACUCUGUCAUUCCUACAAGGUAACUUGACAUUCUGUCAUCAACAGAGUACACCCAGGUUGGGCUGGUCCUGUUAUAGUAAGGAUACAUCAAGUCUGAGAAAAUAUUCAGAAAAUUCAAUUUCUUGUGGCCAUAUUCAGAAAAUUCAUGUCUAUGGAAUUACAUGCAAACUUAUGGUGAAAGAAAUAGUCAUAAAAUAACUCAUGAGAGAUCUUCCGAAUACCUGUUUAAAUUAAGAAUGAAAUCCAUAAUAUUGGCAUAAAACAAGGUCCUAUGCCUGCAUUGCACUGUUAAUAGGAUAGCCCCAUGAGUGAUUUAAGGCAUAUUUAGAUGUCGUGCUUCAGGCAAUGUUGCCUUUUAUUGACAAAAGAGACUGCAUGAUGGUUGUUUUUGAGAAGUUAUUGCUUUCUGUGCAAGAGUCCUGCACACAGAACAAAAGAAUUGGGCUUCUGAAACUGUGAAAUUGCUACUGAAUAUUACCUGAGGAAAAUUGAUGUGAUAUGAAAGAGUUGUGAUAUUGUAGGCAUUCUCCCAAUUGUUCAUUUUAUCCCUGCUAAUCUCCUGGCUUCCUUGCUUCCAGCUUUUUUGAAGUUAUUUUUAUUUUCUCCGUUUUACACUUCAGCGAAUGCUCUCCCUAUGUGAGAAAAACCGAAGACCAAAGUUCAUAGAUGUUUACUGUCCUUUUGUCUAACACAUGCAUGUCAGAGUCUUAUGCUAAAAAUAUCUAGCAAACUGCUUGUGGUUUUUUUUUUCUCUUAUGAGUAGAAAGGGUACUAGCUUGUAUAUGUAUUUUUUCUUAAUGAAAAUAUGCUGCUAUUAUGACUCCAAAAAUCAUUGAUAACCAAACUUGGUGACACGUUUUCAGUUGAUUACAUUAUCAUCAGUAUCAGUUUUCUAGGAUUUAACUCAGUGGCAUGCAAUUUGGUUCCUGGACACUAAUGCAUUUCUAGGAGCACAUCUGUGACUGAGUGGUUGACUUUAAAGUCAACCUCUGCCACUCCAUUUCUGUCAAUGCCUCUUUAUUAGAAAUAUACCUAGAGAAACGUCACACAUUCUGGCAGCUUGCAGUAUAACAUGAGAUGCCUUCUAGGCAUAAAAUAAAAAUACUAGAAGCACAGUUAAAUAAUUUUUAACUUCCAUGUUGUGAUUAGAUGAAUAAACCUUACAAAAUGAAAAAUAAACAUCUAUACUCAUUACUUUCCUGCAUCUUCCUAAAUCCAUGUUUCAAAGGAGAUCCUUAAAUUGAUCUCAACAAUGGAGACAAUGCAGGAAGUAAAUUAGUUGCUGAGAUGUCAGUUAUUUCAAAUGUUGUAGGACGUGUUGAUUUACCAAGGCAUAGUAAUAGUAUUAGUGAUUUAUUGGUGUAUUUAUUUCUUUAAAAUGUGUCAACUUACACAAAAUAUAUAAUGUCACCAUUAUAAUAAAAGAUCAAGUAUCACCGGGCGCGGUGGCUCACGCCUGUAAUCCCAGCACUUUGGGAGGCCGAGGCGGGCGGA